rnacentral:rRNA from 1 species
CCUACGGGUGGCAGCAGUGGGGAAUAUUGCACAAUGGGGGAAACCCUGAUGCAGCGACGCCGCGUGAGUGAAGAAGUACUUCGGUAUGUAAAGCUCUAUCAGCAGGGAAGAAAAUGACGGUACCUGUUUAAGAAGCCCCGGCUAACUACGUGCCAGCAGCCACGGUAAUACGUAGGGGGCAAGCGUUAUCCGGAUUUACUGGGUGUAAAGGGAGCGUAGGCGGCAGCACAAGUCUGGAGUGAAAUGCCGGGGCUUAACCCCGGAACUGCUUUGGAAACUGUGCAGCUAGAGUGCGGGAGAGGUAAGUGGAAUUCCUAGUGUAGCGGUGAAAUGCGUAGAUAUUAGGAGGAACACCAGUGGCGAAGGCGGCUUACUGGACUGUAACUGACGUUGAGGCUCGAAAGCGUGGGGAGCAAACAGGAUUAGAUACCCCAGUAGUC